UACGUAGGGAGCCAGCGUUGUCCGGAUUUACUGGGCGUAAAGAGCGCGUAGGCGGUUUUGUAAGCGGAGGGUGAAAUCUCGGGGCUCAACUCCGAGGCUGCUUUCCGAACUGCAAGACUAGAGUACGGGAGAGGAUAGUGGAAUUCCUGGUGUAGCGGUGGAAUGCGUAAAUAUCAGGAGGAACACCCGUGGCGAAGGCUGCUAUCUGGAACGUUACUGACGCUGAGGCGCGAAAGCUAGGGGAGCGAACGGGAUUAGAUACCCCGGUAGUCCUAGCCGUAAACGAUGGACACUAGGUGUUGGAGGCAUCGACCCCUUCAGUGCUGUUCUGCUAACGCGUUAAGUGUCCCGCCUGGGGAGUACGGCCGCAAGGUUGAA
rnacentral:rRNA from 1 species